rnacentral:lncRNA from 1 species
CCACUAAAGUGCCGUAUCCUGUCUAUGUAUUUGAACUCGUUUCCCCUCUAUGUGUCCCAUAUCCUCCGCCCUGCUCGCACUCAGUGAAGCCUCUCUUUAUACUCCCUCGACGGUCCCAAUUAGGUAGGCUGCUCAUGUCCACGCAAAUUAAAAUAAAAUUUCUCUCCCAUUUUUGUACCCUUGCAAAGGGUAUUCUACAUUUUUGGCAAUUCCGGUAAGCAGGAAGCAGGAAGCAGGAAGCAGGAACCAGGUUUCAGGGUACUUUUAUCGGUG